CUUGCAGUUUGCAUCCGGCUGCGUGUUUUCGACUGAUCUUUGGGGCGCAGGGGCCUCUCCCGAGGGAAGACGCCCCAGGGGAGUCUUUCAUUUGGUGCGUUGGCCGGGAAGUUGAGGCCCCUAUCCCAGAGACCACCGAAUCACUGCCGGGAGGUGAGGAUUUUAUAUGCUGUUCUUGUAUGCUGUUCUAGUUUAAAACAUAGCCAUAUAUCCCCACUGAGAAAAACCACAAGAAAGACUUUGGUAAGAGUUUUUAUGUUGUCUAAAAGCAAGAGAAAUUUUUGCUAUGUUGUCUAAAAGCAAGGAAAAAUUUUGGUUAAAAAAAUAUAUAAACAGAUGGGCCUUAUCUAGGUCCCCAUGUAUAACUUAAAGCAGGUGGGGAGCAGCUGACAGUCCAUCACCGCAGGGCUCUGCCAUCUAUGUUUCUUGAGCAUUUAAAGGAGGCUUACAGGCAUUAUACUCCCCAUUGACCCUCAGAGGUUGUCUUGGCAGAAGGAGGUCAAUGGUACCUAUGGCCUUUAUAGGACAGUCAGCAUCAGAUAUUAUGGUUAAAAAGAGUUACAGGAUUUAAUUAAGGAGGCAGAGAAAAUGUUUCAUAAGCGAAAAACUGAGAAAGAGAGAGAAAGAGGGAGAGAGAUGGAGGCAGAAGAAAGAGGACUGGAGGGAUCAUAGACAAAAGGGAAUUUUGGCCGCAGUGGUAGGAGAGAAAGGAAAGAUAGGAACUAGACAGAUAGGGAACCUGGGCAACAGAAGAUCAAAGAUGAACAUGGACAGGCACCCCUUGGACAAAGGACGAUGUGCUUAUUGCAAAGAAGAAAGGAAGGGACUCUAAGGUACUGGCCCUAGAAGAAGAUGAUUGGAGGGGACUGGGCUCAGACACCCUCCCCUGCGCCUAGGGUAACCCUGACUAUGGAGGGGACCCUUAUGGAUUUUCUAAUGAACAUAGGGGCUGAGCACUCUGUGCUAUGACAACCAUUGGGAAAGCUAAAGAAUAGAAAGACUAUAGUAAUUGGAGCAACUGGACAGAAACAAUAUCUGUGGACCACCUCACGAACUGUAGAUUUGGGGAGAGGACAAGUGACUCAUUCCUUCCUGGCUAUCCCCGAGCGUCCUAUCUCUAUUAGAAAGAGACUUGCUAACAAAGCUGAAGGCCCAACUGGGUUUACUCAAACCAGGCUGGAGAUGAUUAAAGCCUUUUGUUGACUGAACCAGUGACCUUCGCUCCCCCUGCUGUCCUCCAUCCCGCUACCCUACUGCCUGAGACUGAUGACAUCUCGUCUACUCAUCAAUGCGCUGAGAAGCUGGCACCAGAAAUGAUCUGAAGGAUCAGCCGUGGCCUGAAAGUCCGAGCUGGUGUACGGAUGGCAGCUGUUUCAUGAUCGAAGGUAAGCGGAAGGCGGGGACAGCAGUGGUGGAUGGGAAGCAAAUGGCCUGGGCAUAGCCUCCCUAAAGGACGUUGGCACAAAAAGCCGGACUUGCUGCUUGGAUACGAAUGACAGAGGGAGAAGUCUCAGCAUCUACACUGGCAGCAGGUAUGCUUUUGCCACUGCUCAUAUUCAUGGAGCAAUAUACAGACGAAGAGGACUGUUAACAUCUGCAGGAAAAGACAUAUACUUGUCCAAGACACCAAAAAGCUUGAGAUGCUGUGGCUGAAAGAAAAUCAGACGACAGACUCUCUGUCUUGGCAGAAGAAGUAGUCAAAAACUGCAAGGACUGUGCUAUGAUUAAUGCAGGACACUCCAUAUAUGCUCCUGGGAAGAGGCUCAGGGGCGAUUGGCCUGGAGCCUAUUGGAAAGUAUAUUUUGCAGAAAUUAAGCCAGCCAGAUAUGGCAACAAGUACUUAUUAGUUUUUAUAGAUACCUUUUCAGGCUGGGUAGAAGCUUUUCCUACCAGGACUGAGACAGCCAAUGCGGUGGCUAAGAAGAUCAAAGAAGAAAUCUUCCCAAGGUUUGGGAUACCCAAGGUAAUUGGAUCUGAUAAUGGACCUGCAUUUGUUGCCCAGGUAAGUCAGGGACUGGCCGCCCAAUUGGGGAUCUAUUGGAAAUUACAUUAUGCUUACCAACCCCAGAGUCAGGACAGGUAGAAAGAAAAAAAUAGAAUUCUAAAAGAGACCUGCGGAAAUGACUGGACAGCCCUCCUUCCCUUUUGCCCUGUUCCAGGUUUGGAAUACCCCAGGGCGAUUUAAACUCAUCCCUUAUGAGAUCCUAUGUAGAGAACCACCACUGCUCACUGGGUCGGAUAAAAUGUAUAAUCCUGAUGUUAUUCUUUCUAGACCUUUAUUUUCCCCGUCUAAAGGCCCUUGAAAUGGAGAGACACCAGAUCUGAAAACCACUGAAAGAAGUACGCGUCUCUGCCUGGAUCCACACCACCCACAUGAAGCGAGCUCCUGAACUACCCAAACUACAGUAUCCGAGGCUUUUGACAAUGCUACCAGUCAAAAGACUUGGGUUUAGGGGAUUAAUCAUAGACGGACUCUUACUGAGGUUAUGUAAUGAGACUCUAAGGGCCCUAAGACUCCUGACACCUGGUACUUGGUUCCUGGUUUAGAUAGAUGAUGGGUUUAUAGUACAGGUUUGAUGCCUUGCAUGUCAAUGUUAAUUUUUGAUGAUACCAAAGAUUACUGUGUGUUUGCACAACUGGUAUGAAUUUGAUAGAGAACCCAUUUCUCUGACACUAGCAGUAAUCCUGGGCCUUAGAGAAGCUGCCGAUGUUGGGGCAGGUACUGCUGCCCUAAUACAGGCCCCUCAGUACUUCAAUGUAUUAAGAUUUGAGGGCUUUAGAACAAUCUGGUUCCAAACUCGAAGAGUCAUUGACUUCCCUCUCAAAAUGGUCUUACAGAAGGGGUUUAGAUUUGUUAUUCUUAAAGGAUGGAGGAUUAUGCAAAUAGAUCUCCCUGGAUGACUACUUUGAUAUCCUCCCUUAUGGGACCACUCCUAAUUUUGCUUCUGCUACUGAUGUUACCUUUAUUAGAAAAAGAACAAGUGCUGUUCAGAUUUUGAUGUUACACCCCCAAUACAAUGCUUUAAGGUCAAGAAGAUACUGAAAUCUAGUUCUAUGAUUAGAACUA